CACACGGCGGGUGCUAACGUCCGUCGUGAAGAGGGAAACAACCCAGACCGCCAGCUAAGGUCCCAAAGUCAUGGUUAAGUGGGAAACGAUGUGGGAAGGCCCAGACAGCCAGGAUGUUGGCUUAGAAGCAGCCAUCAUUUAAAGAAAGCGUAAUAGCUCACUGGUCGAGUCGGCCUGCGCGGAAGAUGUAACGGGGCUAAACCAUGCACCGAAGCUGCGGCAGCGACACUAUGUGUUGUUGGGUAGGGGAGCGUUCUGUAAGCCUGUGAAGGUGGCCUGUGAGGGUUGCUGGAGGUAUCAGAAGUGCGAAUGCUGACAUAAGUAACGAUAAAGCGGGUGAAAAGCCCGCUCGCCGGAAGACCAAGGGUUCCUGUCCAACGUUAAUCGGGGCAGGGUGAGUCGACCCCUAAGGCGAGGCCGAAAGGCGUAGUCGAUGGGAAACAGGUUAAUAUUCCUGUACUUGGUGUUACUGCGAAGGGGGGACGGAGAAGGCUAUGUUGGCCGGGCGACGGUUGUCCCGGUUUAAGCGUGUAGGCUGGUUUUCCAGGCAAAUCCGGAAAACCAAGGCUGAGGCGUGAUGACGAGGCACUACGGUGCUGAAGCGACAAAUGCCCUGCUUCCAGGAAAAGCCUCUAAGCAUCAGGUAACAUCAAAUCGUACCCCAAACCGACACAGGUGGUCAGGUAGAGAAUACCAAGGCGCUUGAGAGAACUCGGGUGAAGGAACUAGGCAAAAUGGUGCCGUAACUUCGGGAGAAGGCACGCUGAUAUGUAGGUGAAGCGACUUGCUCGUGGAGCUGAAAUCAGUCGAAGAUACCAGCUGGCUGCAACUGUUUAUUAAAAACACAGCACUGUGCAAACACGAAAGUGGACGUAUACGGUGUGACGCCUGCCCGGUGCCGGAAGGUUAAUUGAUGGGGUUAGCGGUAACGCGAAGCUCUUGAUCGAAGCCCCGGUAAACGGCGGCCGUAACUAUAACGGUCCUAAGGUAGCGAAAUUCCUUGUCGGGUAAGUUCCGACCUGCACGAAUGGCGUAAUGAUGGCCAGGCUGUCUCCACCCGAGACUCAGUGAAAUUGAACUCGCUGUGAAGAUGCAGUGUACCCGCGGCAAGACGGAAAGACCCCGUGAACCUUUACUAUAGCUUGACACUGAACAUUGAGCCUUGAUGUGUAGGAUAGGUGGGAGGCUUUGAAGUGUGGACGCCAGUCUGCAUGGAGCCGACCUUGAAAUACCACCCUUUAAUGUUUGAUGUUCUAACGUUGGCCCGUAAUCCGGGUUGCGGACAGUGUCUGGUGGGUAGUUUGACUGGGGCGGUCUCCUCCUAAAGAGUAACGGAGGAGCACGAAGGUUGGCUAAUCCUGGUCGGACAUCAGGAGGUUAGUGCAAUGGCAUAAGCCAGCUUGACUGCGAGCGUGACGGCGCGAGCAGGUGCGAAAGCAGGUCAUAGUGAUCCGGUGGUUCUGAAUGGAAGGGCCAUCGCUCAACGGAUAAAAGGUACUCCGGGGAUAACAGGCUGAUACCGCCCAAGAGUUCAUAUCGACGGCGGUGUUUGGCACCUCGAUGUCGGCUCAUCACAUCCUGGGGCUGAAGUAGGUCCCAAGGGUAUGGCUGUUCGCCAUUUAAAGUGGUACGCGAGCUGGGUUUAGAACGUCGUGAGACAGUUCGGUCCCUAUCUGCCGUGGGCGCUGGAGAACUGAGGGGGGCUGCUCCUAGUACGAGAGGACCGGAGUGGACGCAUCACUGGUGUUCGGGUUGUCAUGCCAAUGGCACUGCCCGGUAGCUAAAUGCGGAAGAGAUAAGUGCUGAAAGCAUCUAAGCACGAAACUUGCCCCGAGAUGAGUUCUCCCUGACUCCUUGAGAGUCCUGAAGGAACGUUGAAGACGACGACGUUGAUAGGCCGGGUGUGUAAGCGCAGCGAUGCGUUGAGCUAACCGGUACUAAUGAACCGUGAGGCUUAACCUU
rnacentral:rRNA from 1 species